CCGUCCCUCCUGCUUUAAGGAGCAUAUCUUGUAUUGCACUUCUUUUGCUUUUAAGCUCUCCUUUUUCAGUUUUAAUAUCGUUCCUAGUUGUUCCUGAUACUGACUUAUACUCUCAAGAAGCACCCAGUAAUUUUGCAUCCAGUAGAUUUGCACUGCACUUAAAUCAUUUACCAAUCAGGGACUUUAUUGGAGCAAAACAUGUAUUGCUGCCGCUAUCUCUGUCACCAUGUGUUGUGUUACUUGUUAUGAAUAUUUGUAGAAGAGUCAAUUAACGUCUUUCAAUAACUACAAUUACUAGGUGCUCUCGAGGUGUCUUGUUUUGCCAUGAUCUUAUUGAUGAAACGUUUUCUUUUGAAGGUAUCUGUCAGUCAUCGGCUUUGUCAUCAACAUGGACACAUUGUUGAUAACGAUUCCUGACCUGCUCCAAGUUCAGCGUUAUGUCUGCACAUACCGCCUCAGUCAGGAUCACUUGGAGCUUUUGUUCUAUUCUGUCAGGGCAUCAGGUAGAAUUUGCACAUUUAUAAUUAGUCUUUUUAGUCCGUGGGCCAGACCGGAUAUUGGUACCUUCUGGGUGGGCAAAUUCUAGUAGAGAUUUUUUUAUACCUAUACAUCCCUAGUUUACAGUAUGUUUUGAUGUGAUAGACCUCUCAGACUGGUCACCUAUUGGUGGCUAUCACCUCAUGAAGUAACCCACCCCCUAAAGUAAACAGCACAUCAAACACCAGUGCGCAUCUUUUUAUAGCCUUCCUGUGGAAGGAACAUGGUUGUACAGUUAUUACCUUACUUACCAUUUAUAGACUACCUGUGGGAAAAAAUGGUUAUACAGUUUCCUUACUUACCCUCAGAAGAUAUAUAUUUUAUGACUCUGACUGUCCCCAUUAAACAUCUCUGUAAUGUAAGUGUGUAAAUGUUUUAGAUUCUUUUUAGGAGGCUGGAAUAACAAUCCAACUGCAGGGCAGUUUCAAGGCAUUUUCCGCCGUCUGAUGGUCCGUUGUGGUGUCUCACCAAGUGGGUCAGGCAACUGUGUCCCCUUCAGCUGCAGACAUGCACUCUGCUUUAAUGACAGAGGAAGAGCUCAUGUCCCCAUUUGCAAACAUUUCUGCAGUCAUAGUGACCACAGUUACCUGCCCACCCGCUUUGGAGGUCUUGUGGACAAUGCCCUUGUCUACAUUUCAGGGUUUGUUGUCAGAAAAAUUCUGAAAAAACUGUCCUGUGAGGUGUGCCAUGCAAGCGUUGUCACAGCUGCUGUACCCUGAUCCUUUGACCAGAGCUACCACCUGCUUGAGCUUGAAAACAAUGGUGGGCUGAUGAUCCCCUCAGAGGGAACAGUGAAGGUGGUCAGAGCAGCAGAGCGUGUGAUUCGACAAAACUCAAAAAAACAAGGUGUCAGUGUGUCCUUCGUCAACCGUUUCGUUCGGGCAGAGAUUGGUUCAGAGGAUGUGUUCUUACUCGGGGAGCACAUUGCAGAAACCCAAUUCGGAAUUGAGAACCAUCAUUUCAUGCUUGUGUCAUUUGUGGUGUCUGUAUUUCACAAAGUAAGGCUGCACCACAUCGCAAAAUUAACUACUCGGGAGUUACAGAAUGCCAGCAUAUGCAAGAAGCUGUGCAAAACAGUUCUUUCUCAAGGGGUUCCCAGCCCCAGUUGCAAUGUUUACGCAACAAAGUUUUUAGCAGUUCCUGGGUGUGGCUUAGUGCAGGGGAUUUCACCCCAAGGAAUAAAAUCAGUUACUCAUUAGGAGACAAGUUACCUAUUUAUUUUAAGUUAAACAUUAUAGGACACACAUAUCUAGUGUCCUUGUUAGAUAUGAUGUUGAUGUCACACAAACUGUCUAUAGUUUAGGUUAGCGAUGAUUUCACAACUGCACCAAAUUGAGCAUCAGUGGUACUGUUUACAAUGUACACAAACACUUGUUACAAUGUUAUGACAUCAGAUAGUUUACACCUAAACAAAUGCACGUGUGUGAGUGAGUGAGUGAGUGAGUGAGGAGAGAGAGAGAGAGAGAGAGAGAUAAAUUCAAAUGAACAAUCAAACUUUUUUCUUCAGUCUAUGAGGCGUCUAUGUAUAUUAUUUAUUAUGUGUAUGUGUUAAAGGACAGCAAGCGUUCUUUUAUGUUAUUUUAUGUUCUCACUUCCUGGUCUGUAAACCACCAUUCAUACAUUUUGUAUAAAUAUUAAAUACUUGCAUUAAACCUACAGUGUUUUAUAUAAGAAGUCUAUGAGGUGAUACAGUAAUUUUUGAACGGUUUUAUGAAUAAAAAUCAGACUAGAGAGGGCGGGACAAAUAUAGAGGUGCAGCUCAGAAUAGUUAGUCUUAUAUUUACCUUUACAAAAACAAAUAAAAAACCCCUAGUCUCAUCCUCCUACCCAACUACAAUCAGAGGCAUGUUGAUGUAAACAUGCAAGUCACAUCCAUAAUCAACAUUUAAACCUACAUAAACAACAGUAGUAAUAUAGAUAGACAGUAACAGUUUAACUCUGUCAUUUAACUUACACCUUUUAACUAAACAAUCACAAUUAAAGUCAUAUCCGUAUAUUUUACUGUCAUUCUACUGUAUGCAUGUUAAGACCCUAACAGAGGGGGCUGUAGGCCUUAGUGACACCCCCUCCGUACCUCUUACUCUUCAGCUUUGCGCAGUGGCAGUAUCGUAGCCUAUGAGGUUUAUCCGAGGCGUGAUUAUUGCUGGUUGAAAACUUUACCCAAUACCCCGCCUAGACGACUUGAAAUAUAGUCGGCGACGGCAAUUUUUGACGGUCUCUAAGGAGACUCAUGUGUUGUUUAAUAUAAACUUAAAUACUGUUAAACUACUUAUUUUAUCACAUGGUGAAAAUACAACGUGAUUAAGAUAUAAUUUUCCUCCUACAGUGUGUCUCUAUUCUUGUAAUUCUUGAUCGUAAUGCAGGACUUCAUCCAUGUUUAUAUUUCAGUGUAAUAACUGGUCAUUUAAGUGUUUUGAUUUCAGUCCACUGAAAGUAAAUCUGUAGUUUCAAUAUGUUCUGUUAUGUUUAUAUGUUUAACUCACUGUUAAAAUGAGACUGAUAAUUGGUUAAGGUAAAACAUGGCAUACUCAGAAGAGUUAGGACCAUAUAUAUACAUAUAUAUUAUAUAUAUAUGUAUAUAUAUAUAUAUAUAUAUAUUUAUUAUUAUGUCUGUGGUCAGAACUUAUUAUCGUGCCCAGUGUGGUUGUGUUCAGGGACCCAUAAAUAAAGACGUACACCGGGUACGUCACGUCCGUGUAGAAGUUAUCUCACUUGUUGUGUAUUUAUUUAACGUUGUAGGUGAGUUUUUAUGUUAUAUUGUUCGUUGUUUGUGACUUUAGUUGUUACUAGUUAACUACACUAAGUUACUAUAUAAUUCAUUCAUCAUAAUAUGUUACAUAACGGCCGUUUGGUUACUCGGUUACACUUCGGGACUCUUUAGCAUUUCCUUUUUGUCUAUCCUGUCUUCUACAUAUGAACUGCUCCCAUUUUUAAAUACAGCUUUAUAAAGUACACAUGGCUCCUCUUCGGAGAUGUUAUGUUUGACCUUUCUACACAAUAAUAACGAUCCAUAUGAAACUCGUACAUUUGAAACCACGCCCAUGAAUGAAACCCUAACAGAGAGGUGUGUGUCCCGGAGACACCACCAUGGCGUUUCCAGUCAGUCUUCAGCUUUGCGCAGUGGCAGUAUCGUAGCCUAUGAGGUUUAUCCGAGGCGCGAUUAUUGCUAGUUGAAAACUUUACCCAAUACCCCGCCUAGACGACUUGAAAUAUAGUCGGCGACGGCAAUUUUUGACGGUCUCUAAGGAGACUCAUAAACUGUUGAAGUAAAAGAUUAUUCAAUGACUUCAAUGUUAGAGAUUUCUGUAAAAUUUUAGAGAAUAAUCUAACAGAAGAUAUUACACCGUGCUUUAGAUUAAGUCUGUUUUUGUAAUACAAUGUGAUAUUCUCUAUUCUUGUAGUCUCCGAGCAUAAUGCAGGACUUCACCCAUAUCUGUGUUUCAGUGUAAUAACUUUUUUUUCCUUUUACUGUUUUGAUUUGGGAAUUUCUGCCAGUGAAAGUAAAUCUAUAGUUUCAAUUUGUUGUGUUAUGUUUAUAUGUUUAACUCACUGUUAAAAUGCGACUGAUAAUUGGUUAAAGUAAAAAAAAAAAGAAUAAUAAAGACAUUAAAUACUUGCAUUAAACCUAUAGUGUUUUAUAUAGAAGUCUAUGAGGUGAUACAGUAUUUUUUAAAUCAAAAUCAGGCUAGAGAGGGCGGGACAAAUAAUAGAGGUGUAACUCAGAAUAGUUAGUCUUAUAUUUACCUUUAAAAAAACAAAUAAAAAACCUCUUUGGAGAGUGACUCUAGUCUCAUCCUCCUACCCAGAUACAAUCAGAGGCAUGUUGAUGUAAACAAAGUCACAUCCGUAAUCAACAUUUAAACCCACAUAAACAACAGUGGUAAUAUAGAUAGACAGUAACAGUUUAACUCUGUCAUUUAACUUACACCUUUUAACUAAACAAUCACAAUUAAAGUCAUAUCCGUAUAUUUUACUGUCAUUCUACUGUAUGCAUGUUAAGACCCUAACAGAGGGGGCUGUAGGCCUUAGUGACACCCCCUCCGUACCUCUUACUCUUCAGCUUUGCGCAGUGGCAGUAUCGUAGCCUAUGAGGUUUAUCCGAGGCGUGAUUAUUGCUGGUUGAAAACUUUACCCAAUACCCCGCCUAGACGACUUGAAAUAUAGUCGGCGACGGCAAUUUUUGACAGUCUCUAAGGAGACUCACAUUAUGUCUAAAUAAAAUACAAUAUGCUCUAAGUAGUGUAGAGUAAGGGGUGAAUGUAAACCUUGAGAUUUAAUGGAGGACCUUAAGACGCUCCUAAUUUCCUAGAGUAACAUACCACUUUAUGUUCUAUAUACCUUACACUUGUAGUUUACUGUAAAUUUUUUAUGUUAUAGAAACUAUUAGCCUUUAAAAUGUGUAGUAUGCAGUAGACUUGAAGCUUUUCUAUUUUUUGUCAAUUCAAUUUUUAACGUAUUUGUGGUGAUCAUUCACCAUGCUUUGUUAGUAGUACCUCAGCUCUCCAUAGGGGGACAUUUAUUUUCAUUCUGUAUAGUUUGACUGGUGUCUGCAGUCCCUGUAACAUUAUUUUCCUUUUGUAAAAGACUCAGACCACUAAGGCCAUAAUAUCAGUAGGCGUAAUGCAACACUAAUGUAAGAUAGUUAAAGGAACCAUUCCUCACACUACUGUAUACUAUACACUAGAUAAUAUAAUGCAUACUUACAUUACCCUUUUUACUUGAAGGUAUAAACCUUUAAAUACAGAACUUGCACCUUUAAUGUGGUAUUAAACCUUUUUCUGUACUCACUCAUAUUUUGCUUUACCUGUAUGUAUUUUUAGUCACUGCUAUUGACUUGAAAUCAAUAACCUUAAAUAGAUAUUAUAUUUGUCACAGUGCAGUGUACUCUCCAGAACAGCAGAGGGCACUCUGGAACAAAAUAUGGGAUGGUGAAUGUGAGGAGAAAAUAAACUGUAGAGGAACAUACACUUGUUUCUGCUUAAAAUCAUUAAACACAAGUUAAUUUGUUUACUAGCCAAA